AAUGUCCAUUGCUUGGGUUGUAUAGCCAUUCUAAUACCCCAUUCCAUUCCUUUAGCCACCUGUGAAGAUCCAAUGAUGUCAGAGCAGAUGGUCCAUAAUUAGACAUCAACAGGUGUUGUGACUGAAAAUAAUGCCAUUCAGCAUUCACUGGAUAAAUAACCAUAAGAAGGAAAACAGUGUCUUGAAGUUUCCCACCAAUGGCAGAUUGAGCAGACACACAGCCCAGGAAGCGAGGAGAAGAAGCCAGCACCAUAUUGACCAUUUAAUUGUCUGAAGGCCAUUUGAGAUCCAAUGUUCAUUGUUUGACAGCCAUAUAUCUCUGGAGUAUACUAAUGGAAAAGAUGCAGCUGGCUGGAUCCCAUGUGCCUGUUAUAUCUUGCUGCAUGAGACUCAUUCAAAGAAUCAGGAUAGACCUAUUAAAAACAGCCAACUACAGGAGAUUUGGUAUUCUGAAUGAAGGACUCAGCUAUGCAAGUGAGUGAUAUAUCGAAAUCUAUUGGAAUUGAG